ACUACCUGAGACUGGGUAAUUUAUGAAGAAAAUGGGUUUAAUUGACUCAAAGUCCCACAGGCUUUACAGGAAGCAUGGCUGGCAGGCCUCAGGAAACUUACAAUCAUGGUGGAAGGUUUUGGACUCUUUAUCUUGCAUUCAAAAUUGAUGAUGAGAAAUAUGUAUGAAUGGCAGUAACCUGAAGAGGCAUAAAUGACAAGGAGUUGAUCAACCCUGAGUUUUCUGAUUUUCAUUAUUUCAAUGGAUUGAAGAAAAUGUUCACUGAAGGAAGAUGAUUAAUUGAUCCAGAGGGCCUGUAGCAACUCUGUUUAACAUGCUAGAUGAGCCAGUCUUAUUCAAUGAUGACUAAGGAUCUAGAGAAAACUGGUGUCAGAUGACUUCUUGGCAGUCAUUUGAAGACUAAAGUAGCUUUGAAGGUGAAGAUUCUUUGUGUUCAUUCUCAUCCUGAUGUAAAAAUACUACCUGAGAUUGGAUAAUUUAUAAACAAAAGAGGUUUAAUUGAUGCACAGUUCCUCAUGCCUGGGGAGGCCGCAGGAAACUUACAAUCAUGGUGGAAGGCAAAAGGGAAGAAGGCACCUUCUUCACAAGGUGGCAGGAGAGACAGUGAGGAAAUGCCAUACUUUAAAACUAUCAGCUCUCAUGAGACUUCACUCAUGAUCACGAGAACAGCAUGGGGGAACCUUCUCCCAUGAUUCAACCACCUCCCACCAGCUCCCUCCUCGACACACGGGGAUUACAAUUUGAGAUGAGAUUUGGGUGGGUACACAGAGACAAACCAUAUCUAUCAAUUCUGGAUGUUUAAUACCAGUAUUAUUAGAGGAGGAUCUAGUCCCCUUCAGGACAUAAGGAUCUAUGAUCCUCUGUCAGAACAUAUUAGACCCUUUCCUUUGGCUAUAACCAAAAGAUUAUAAACAUACAUCCAGGAAUAAAAAUAAUAUAUUAAAAUUUUGUGUGUGUGUGUGCGAAUGCAAAUUUUUUGUGCCAAAUCUAAAGACUCUUUACCUAGUCCUAAGGUGUCUUGAAGAUCUUCUGCAGGUUUUUUUCUAGAAAUUUUAUAGUUUUAUGUUUUACAUUUAAGUCUGUGAUUCAUUUUGAGUUAAUUUUUUUUGUAUAAGAUGUGAAGCUUAAGUUAAGGUUCACGUUUUUGCCCAUGGUUGUUCAAUUGCUCUAAUAGCAUUUAUUGAAAAGGUUAAUGAUUUAUUUGUACUUCUGCCAAAAUUAAUUGAUCAUACUCAUGUGGCCAUACUUCUGCUUUCUCUGUUUUAUACCACUUAGCUUUGUCUAUCUUGCUAUCAAUACCACACUGUCUUGAUUACUGUAGCUAUGUAUUACUGUAGCUAUAUAGUAAACUUUAAUAAAAGGAAGAUGAACUUUCUUCUUCUUUUUUCAAAAUCGUUUUGGCUGUUUAAGGUCUUUUUCUUUUGGUAUACAUUUUAGAGUAAAAGUACAUACUUCUAUGAAAUACCUUACUAAGCUUCUGAUAGGAAAUACGAUAACACUGUCGAACAGUUUAGGGAAGACUGGUAUCUUUACUAAAUCUUCUAACCCAUAAACAUGAUAUUUAGGUCUUCUUGUCUUUCACCCACAUUUUGUAAUUUUCAACAUGUAGAUUCUAUACAAUUUUGUUGAGAU